rnacentral:rRNA from 1 species
UACGUAGGGUGCGAGCGUUGUCCGGAAUUAUUGGGCGUAAAGAGCUCGUAGGCGGUUUGUUGCGUCGGCCGUGAAAACUUGGGGCUUAACCCCGAGCCUGCGGUCGAUACGGGCAGACUUGAAUUCGGCAGGGGAGACUGGAAUUCCUGGUGUAGCGGUGAAAUGCGUAGAUAUCAAGUGGAACACCAGUGGCGAAGGCGAGUCUCUGGACAUUUCCUGACGCUAAGGCACGAAAGCCAGGGGAGCAAACGGG